GGAGAGGUGUCCGAGUGGUUGAAGGAGCACGCCUGGAAAGUGUGUAUAGGGUAAAACCUAUCGCGGGUUCGAAUCCCGCUCUCUCCG
rfam:Rhodanobacter sp. B05 NODE_4_length_296079_cov_11.3457_ID_7, whole genome shotgun sequence.